AGAGUUUGAUCCUGGCUCAGGACGAACGCUGGCGGCAUGCCUAAUACAUGCAAGUCGAACGAGCAUCUUCGGAUGCUAGUGGCGAACGGGUGAGUAACACGUAAGUAACCAACCCAUUAGACGAGGAUAACUACUGGAAACGGUAGCUAAUACUGGAUAGGAUACGUUGAAGAAAGUAGAUGUAUUUAAAGAUCCUUCUGGGAUUACUAAUGGAUGGGCUUGCGGCGCAUUAGCUAGUUGGUAGGGUAAAGGCCUACCAAGGCGACGAUGCGUAGCCGACCUGAGAGGGUGACCGGCCACACUGGGACUGAGACACGGCCCAGACUCCUACGGGAGGCAGCAGUAGGGAAUCUUCGGCAAUGGACGAAAGUCUGACCGAGCAAUGCCGCGUGAGUGAAGAAGGUCUUCGGAUUGUAAAACUCUGUUAUUAGGGAAGAACGGAUAUCGUAGGAAAUGGCGAUAUAUUGACGGUACCUGAUGAGAAAGCACCGGUUACUACGUGCCAGCAGCCGGGGUAAUACGUAGGUGGCAAGCGUUGUCCGGAAU
rnacentral:rRNA from 1 species